GUUUUAGAGAAGCGACUCACAGCGAGACCACCUUCUUUGCUCCUUUGUUAAGUAGAUUUUCACUUGUUCAUCCCACAUCCUCUCUGCCUCUCAAGGCCCCGAGUCCUUGAGUAAGCAUUGGUGUGAGGGGACCUGCGCUAAAUGGGCCCAUGCAUAGGAGAACUGUGGCUGGGCAGGGGCACGCAGGAGCUGAUGGAGAGGCGCAGGCACAGGUAGUGCCUCAGGCCUGCCAGGUGGGAGUGGGGGUGAGCCCGCGGCUGCCUUGCCCCUUGGUGGAAAUCUCUGAGGCAUAGUCCACAUCGAGGGGCAGGAAACUGAGGCCUGUGGGGCCCAAUCAGGCUCACCUCCAGUUUUUCUAUAUAAAGUUUUAUUGGAACACAUUCUUGCAUGUCCAUUGGUUAGUGUCUGUAGCUGCUUUCACGCUACAAGAGAAUUGGGCAAUAGCCACUGAUGCCUGUCAGGCUGUGAGAAUCAACUGAUAACCAUGUGACCAUAAGAAGAAAACUAUCCCAAGCCCUGAUUGGGGAUCUAGCAUCUCUCAGAGGCCUGGCAGGCCUGCCCUACCUGCCUGCGUGGGCACAGUUCCUCAGUCCAGGCUGUAGUGGCCCCUGGCCUGACUGGCCUCACUUCCCACUCCCCCCAGUGGUUCCAAAGCUCCCUUCUGUAAUGAAUCACAUGUAUGCACCGUGCCUCAGAGUCCACAUCCAGGAAGCUCUGAGGGGAUGGACCUGAGGAGUUAUCACCCAGGAUCUCGCAGAUGGACGGUGGACACGGGGGCACUCUGAGGCUCAGGCAGAAUGGCCAUUGAGCAGAGGAAACAGCAACAAAGAGGCCGGGGGUGGGACUGGGCUGUCCUGUAGGUGGUAGUGGAGUAAUUAGGAAGAUUGCAUGUGUGGGAUCAGGAGAAGUCAGACCACCAUGGGCCAGGCAUGGGCCAGGGGAUGAAUCUUGUCCUGUGUCCCAACGGUGGCCAGGAGUGUGAUGGGCCCAGCACCCUGCAGGUGGGGUACUCCCUGUGGGUGGGGUGCUCCCUGCGGGAGGGGUGCUCCCUGCGGGUGGGAUGCUCUCUGUGGGUGGGGUGCUCUCUGUGGGUGGGGUGCUCCUUGCGGGUGAGGUGCUCCCUGAGGGCGGGGUGCUCCCUGCGGGUGAGAUGCUCUCUGCAGGUGGGGUGCUUCCGUGGCACACCUGUGACCACGGUCACAGCAGGCAGGCCAGGUUGGCUGCUCCUUUGACACCCUUCCUUCUCCCCCUGACUGCUUCUCCCCUUCUAUGAUCAGUGGGAUAUUGGAAGGAACCACUCACCAAACAAAACUUUGUAUUAUAUUUAAUGAAAAAUAUGGGGAUACAGAAGGUUUCGCAGACAAACUUUGCACGUGAGUCACUCUUCCCUCACAGGUGUGGUUGGAUUUGCUUCCAACUGUCCUGGGGACAGUGCCCUUUGUUCCUCUCAGUCAGCCUGGUGCCCAUGUCACUGGGAACAGUCACAGAGCCCUCUCCGCUGAGGUCUGCCCAGCAGGUGCAGGCAGUGCUCUGAGGACUUCCUAACUCACAUCUGGCCAGGCUGUGAUUGCACGGCUGCAGCUUUGAUCCUCCUCGGGUUCAGUCUGAAGUUGCCAGGAGGCUUGAAGAGCCAUCCCCAGCAGGGCGGCGAGGAGAGUGAUGCACCUGCUCCUAGAUCAUCUAUAAGGCAGUCUUGAAACAGGAGCCUGAGCUUUAUGAAAUUAUCCAUUUUCUUGCUGUGAAAAUUCAAGCCUUUUGUAGGGCAGCUGCAAAGUCUGUAAAAGUAGCCUCCACAUGGAUGAAAUGAUAAGUUUUCAUCUGCAGAGAAGAGCUUGUGUUCGGGUGCUGAGAACAAUACUGCAAGAGAAACACGCAUUUUCCAAGAGGAGGGGAGGUGUCCCUGGUGUUCACGGGAGGCCAUCUCGCCCCAGGCCCAGGACCACGGACAGCAGUGGGGCAGCACUGCUCACAAGCUGACGUCAUCACAAGAAUUUACUUUGUUACAAAAGCAACCUUUUGACCGAAAAACAAAAAUUAGAACCAAAAAUCCUGUGGAAUGGCACCCUCGACUGUCCGGAUGGCACUGAGAAUAAGGAUUCUUGUUUAGCGAAUCACUCACUCUGCCUUCCCACGCUGCUGAGGCGCUGAACCUGUGGACCCCUGUCCCUAGGGUGGCUCUCAGCCACGUCUGAUGUGGGCAGGGCCGUGAUGUCACCCCUGGGUCAUCCUGGCCUCUCUCACUGCCGAGGAGAAGGUGCCCACCUGGGCGGCCUGCAGAGGGGCUGGGAGCUGGGGCAGGCCGGCUGCUUCUUCUCAAGCAUCCUUCUCUUCUCUUUAGAGUCUCAGGCAGGCUGCACUUCUAGGGAAAAGGUAGGUGUGGAGUUUUUCCACGUUGAAAGGUUUGUGUUCCUUGCUUUCUUAUGAGCUAAUCAUUCUGUGUUCCACAUGGAGCCUGUGACCUCCAUCUCGAAGUUUCACUCUCAACCUGUUCAGCGCAAAAGUCGGUUUCUCUGCAGCUUCAGAUCAGCUCCCAUCGCCCCCGCCGCCCAGGAAGUCAGCAGAGGUGCCACUUCAACCGGACCCUGGCAAGAGCCACGCACGGCCCUUCCAAGAGACUCCACAGCUGUCAGAAAACAACUUGCCGUAGGCCCUUAGUCACUGUUUAACUCAGGGGCUUCAUCUCCAAUAUGAGAGGGCUGUGUGAUCCUUUUUGAUGCCCGUCCUUAGAAGUAGGCGUCUUCUCAUGCGCCUCGUUCCUUGUUCCCCAUUAGCAGACAACUGCUGAAAAUAUUAACUUCCAAAUAAAGUAAAAGUGAUCCAUAUUCAUGUAAUGCUAAUUAAGGACAUCCUGAGUUCAUUAUUGCCAAUUUUAAAAAAGGAAGCCAGAUUUUUUUUCUGCACCCAAUUUCGCUGCCUAUGGCAGUUGAAUGAAAAGAACGUGUAAAAGUGUGUGGGCCUGUGUGCACGUGUGUGGGGGUGCCUGUGAGUCUUCAAGGAAACCUUAGACAGUCUUUUACCAGGAGCAGCUGGAACCUGAUCUGACGCACAUGAGUAUACUUUGGGGCCAGAAUACCUAAACUUAAGAAUCACCUUAUUUCUAAAUGCCCACAACCACCACCUGAAGGUCACUCCCCAGUGCUGACAGCUAGAGUCUGAUAGGUCUAGACAAUGAGCUGAGAGCUAGGGUCCGACUGGCCUAGACAGUGAGCUGAGAGCUAGGGUCUGAUUGGUCUAGACAGUGAGCUGAGAGCUAGGAUCUGAUUGGUCUAGACAAUGAGCUGAAAGCUAGGGUCUGAUUGGUCUAGACAAUGAGUGAAACAUGUGAACACAUCCAGUAUCCAAUGGGAAAUAUGAGAUGCUGGAGCUCAUGAUGGGUUAUGCAGGUCAUGAGAACAUGCAAAAUAAAGUUGGGUACAUAUGCCUGUGUACACGUGUGUGUGGGCGUGUGUACACUUGUGUGUGGGCAUGUGUACAUGUGUAUACAUGUGCAUGUGUGUGUGUCUGGGUAAAUGUGUUAAACCUUCUGCCUGACAAC
rnacentral:lncRNA from 1 species